GCCGGCCCCAAGGGAGGGAGCGUACGUCCCGGGCGGUGGCCGGCCCGGGCCGUUGCUAUGGCAACGCGCGGGGCAAACGGGCCUCUGGGCCUCCGGCUGCCGAUCCACUGGCGGUCCCAGCUGCGGAGGAACCGGACCCGGGCCCGCGGACCCCUUAGUGUCUCCUGGGGCCGAGCGGUUGGAACCCCAUUUUACUCGGGUCCGGUGUUUGGGGUGGUCCCUGACUGCCCCGGUUCAUCUACACCUUUUCACCUCCACCCCACCUUGGGACGUGAACCUCUUUGAAAGUUUAAAAGCGAACUUAAUAUAGGAUCUCAUGUGUGAAUAUAAAUCUAGUACAUCAUUAACCUAAGGACCUUACCAAUUGGAAAUUGCAGUUUUCACCUUCAAACUACCAUAUCCUUUUUGAUUAUUCUCUUCCUAAAAAAGUGUAAACAUCUUUCAAGUUAUUUUUGUUGCAGAGCUAAACAAAUGGCUGAUAGUGACUUGAAUAAAAUAUCUAGACAAUGUCCCCACUGUUCAUCUACCCUGCAGAAUAAUGGACUUAGAUUAUGUUCUUGCACAUCAAACUAUUCUCCAGUUUUGGUGGUAGAAAUGUCACAGACAUCAAGCAUUGCCAGUUCAGAAAUCGUAGUUUCAGCAGAGAGAAAAAAAGAAAAAAGUAUCAGCAGAGAACCUUCUGGGAAAGAUUUGACCUCCAGAACCUCAAAUGUAGAAAGAAAACCAUGUCAACAACAGUGGAGUCGGUGCAACAUUUCAGAAGGAAAAGUUCCUCACAUAAGGAUGGAGGAUGGAUCUUCUAUUGAGGAUUUCUAUACCUUUGGAAGAAUAUUGGGACAAGGGAGCUUUGGACUGGUUGUUGAAGCUACAGACAAGGAAACAGAAACUAAGUGGGCAAUUAAAACAGUGAAUAAAGAAAAGGCUGGAAGCUCUGCUGUGAAGUUACUUGAACGGGAGGUGAAUAUCCUAAAAAGUGUAAAUCAUAAACACAUCAUACAUUUGGAACAAGUAUUUGAGACAUCUAAGAAAAUGUACCUUGUGAUGGAGCUUUGUGAGGAUGGAGAACUCAAAGCAGUUCUGGAUAGGAAAGGGCAUUUCUCAGAGAAUGAGACAAGGUGGAUCAUUCAAAGUCUUGCAUCAGCUAUAGCAUACCUUCAUACUAAGGAUAUAGUACAUAGAGAUCUAAAACUGGAAAACAUAUUGGUAAAAAGCAGCUUUGUUGAUGCUAACAAUGAAAUGAACUUAAAUAUAAAGGUGACUGAUUUUGGCUUGGCAGUAAAGAAACAUGGUAGGGCUGAAGCCAUGAUGCAGGCCACAUGUGGAACUCCUAUCUAUAUGGCACCUGAAGUUAUCAAUGCCCACGACUAUAGCCAGCAGUGUGACAUUUGGGGCAUAGGUGUCAUAAUGUAUUAUUUGUUAUGUGGAGAAGCACCCUUCUUGGCAAACUCAGAAGAAACUCUUUUUGAGUUAAUAAAAAAGGGAGAACUACAUUUUGAAAAUCCAAUCUGGAAUUCCGUCGGUGAUUGUGCCAAAAGUGUUUUGAAACAACUUCUGAAAGUAGAUCCAGCUCACAGAAUUACCGCUAAGGAACUACUAGAUAACCAGUGGUUAACAGGAAAUACACAUUCUUCAAUGAGGCCUACCAAUGUAUUAGAAAUGAUGAAAGAAUGGAAAAAUAACCCAGAAACCGAUGAAGAUGAUGAGACAGCUGAGAAGAAUAACUCAUCUCUUCAAGAAAAGUUGGAAAGUUCCCAGCUCAGGGAAAAUAUCCAGGAUGUCAAUAAUACUUCAGAUGUAAAGAAUCAAAAACAGCUUGGCUUCGUUGACCAAAAGGCUAUCUCUGAGGCAUCAAUGACAAUCUCUCUGACACCUCCCAUGCACCACAGGACAGAGAGCUGGGUUUUGCCCAGAGGGACACACUUUGUCUCCACAGUACAAAGCAGUUGUUUCCAAUACUGAUCAACUCUCUGACUUGAUGGCAGGAGCAGUUGCCGGGUUCUAGCUGUACUCCCUUUUCCCCAGCAAUGCAGAACUUAGUCACAGACCUCAGCUAUUCAGUUGAAGUUUCAUGUCUACUUUCUGCUUCCUGAUUUUUUAUACUAGUUCACAUCCAUGAAACACUGCCACGUGCCCCACCCCAUAUUAAACUUCAGCAAGAAUGUCUCACCUGCAGUGCAUCCUGAUUGCUUGGAGAGUAGCUAAACAAUUCUUUCUCCAAAGUGACCAGCCUCUGGCUCUGUGGCAGCAGCAUGAAAGAUGGAGUGGCAUAAAUGUUGUUCACCAGGUAACAAGGCCACAGCAGCCAAAUCAUCAUUCCAUAGCCUCCCAUCAGCAAGAAGUCAGAAGACCGGUGGACCAAGAACUUAUCCCAAAUGAAAUUUGCAGGAUAAUAACUUUUUGAAUGGUUCUGUCAGCACCCACCCACCUCCAUGACAUGCUUCCUGGGAUGGGGGCUCCCUGCCUUCCAACACAGAUGAAUCCUACUCUACAAACAACACAUAUGCUAGAAGAGUCUUCACAUUAUCUGACAUCUGCUCCUCUCCGGACUCUCUGGAACCUUAUAAAGUCAGCUCCUGCUGCCAUGCAAUGGCCCCUCAGGGUUGAGGGUGAUCUCUAAAUCCCCGAGCAUCUUCUACAGUCCAAAUAUCCCCACUUCUCUUGGGCUCCAGUCUAAUUUUUCUGUCUCUCCAAGUGUGACCUGGACCCCAGAACUCUGGAUGCCACACCUCUGUCAUGUGUCGUGUGUUCCUGUUAACAAGGAUGCAUGGCUAUCUGGCUUUAGUUCCCUGUGACAGGCUUUAAUGACAACAUAUCUCUGAAGCACAUUUAUUUUCUUACUUAUGUCCUUGUGGCAGACUUCCUGUCACCACUAAAGAAUCCUUUUGCUGCAUAAUGCCCUCAGGAGUAACAGAGUAUGUUGAUGUGCCUGGGUUGGAUCUGAGUCACAGAGCCCUGAGUUUACCAGAGAAGACAGAAUUAUUUUCCAUAAGUCUCUGUCUUGCUAAUUAUGCACUGAGAUAUAUGGAAAAGUAAAAAGGUACAGAUCAAAUUACAGACCUGCUUGCCAGGGAAUGCAUUAGCGGCCCAGCUACCUCUGGAGGGGCAGUAAGACACAAAGGAGAGGCCUGGCAACCUCAGACAGUACCUGUCCCAAGCCCUCUAGCAGACACAUGUGAGUUGUCAUCCGUGCCUGAGUGCUGUGGGCAUCCCGCCUUCCCAUCCUCAGGCAUGGCGAGUGGGGUGGGAAUUAACCUCCAUGACUGGCUCCAAUGGCCCUGAGUGUUCCUCCUCUGUUACUAAAAGGAAUCUGUGUCAUUUUCAGAGAAAAUUCUGAGCUACACCCAAACAUCUCUGAGAAUUUCCAGGAGUGCUCUUGCAUGUCCUUGGUCACCUGUAUCUCUUUUCCUAGAGCAGAAGUUCAAGUGUGACCCUCAACACCAAAGUGUUGCUUCUGAUAUCCUGGCCUUCACUGUUCCUUCCAAGGCCUCUGCUUUACUGGCUACUGGGCAGAUUCUGGUGAGCCAGUGGCUGGGGUAGCUGCUGCCAGCAACAUGCCACAUGUCCAAUGUGGUGAGGGUCAGUCUUGAAUCCCAGGGAUCCAUCCUGACCUGGCAUGAUGCAGUUGCCUAAGCUCUUGGGUCCUUCUUCCCUCACCGCAGGGUGUCCCUUAAGUAGACUGGCCUUGUGGAGCAGAGUGAGUGGGUGGUGAGUGAGUGCUGGGGAGCAUGCAACGUAAGAUAUAGGGUGGGAGCUAGGUAGGAGUAUUUGGGAAGGGGUGUCCUGUGGGAUGUGAGUGGGAGGGAGGGGCCCUCAGAAAUUGCUCAGGCUUCUUUGGCCCCACUCCUGGGUCUCUGGAGCUUUCCAGGAAUCCUGACAUGCAAUGUGUCUGCUUUCUAUCUGGACUCCAAAGUAAAGACACCAGCAGGCUAUUUCCAACUGUCAAAGGACAGAAUGCAAAGAGCAUAUCUGCCUGUGAUGAAGCGGCUCAGGCCCACUCGUACCUAAAGUUUUGAGUGACAAAAUCUUUCAAAACACAGAGCCCAUCAUGGAGAUACUAAGAGGCAUCUUUGGAGGUGCAAAAUUUAAGGAGUAGCCCAGCCCUCCCUACCCUGCAGCAGGCCCAGGGAAGGAGGGUUGUGGUGGUUCAGUGCUCGCUAGACCAGAGCCAGGCAGGGUGUCAGAAGAGAGUGGAAACGAAAUGGACCCCUACACGGGGUCAGGGAAGGCACAGCUCUUAUGGCUUAGUCACACACAGCUCUGGCAGCUGGUCCCCUGACAGCUUAGCCCACCUUCAGUCUCUAGGGUGAGCAGCAGAAGCCCUAACCCUUAGCUGCUGUAAAGGGGGAAAGAGGCCGGCAGGAGACACUCCGCUGGCCUAGAUUUCUUGAGUACCCUUAAGAAAUCAUGUGGAGGUCCCCAUCACAGCCUUUGGAAGUGAAGAGAUUUAAAAUGAGGUACAUUUAAAUUGGCCAGUUUAUGGGGAACUUGUUUGGGACUAAGGUGAAUACUGGGGAUUUGCAGUGGCACCCACCUGCACAAUGGAGACAGCAGUAUCAACAUCAAGACUGUAGGGCAUCUACUGGUCAUUCUUGGUCAACAGGACACCAUCUCCAGUUUUUGCUUUGGCUGUGACAUGGUUGAGGAAAGUGGUAGUGUUUACAAGGUGCAAAGGGGCACAGUCUGGUCACUGGUUUUGAUUAAUGGACAAACAGAAGCAGGAAAUGGGACAGCAAGGAGGAAAGAACAGGUGCUAGGAAAACACCUUCAGAUUCUGCUUUUGAAGCCCAGUGGCUAUGGCAGCCACCCCUCCUCCCCAGGACUCAGGAUUCCAAGCCUCCACAAAGACCCCUGUUUCCAGGAGCCCCCUUGCCCCAUGUGGCCAGUGUGCUGUGUUGGCUGGGUCAGAACUACAGCUCUGACAAGCUCACUGACCUGGGGAACAGUCCAUGGCCAGCUCAGGAAGAAAGAAGGGAAGGAGGGUGGGAAGGGGGGGAGGAAGAGAAGGAAGGGAACGUGUUGUUUUUUUUGGAGCCCAAGGAUUAGGUUGUGCUCUUCAAACUGAGUUUCCCAACCCUCCAGACUAGGACCCCUGAACCCCAAGAUUCACUGAUCUGCUUCUACUUUCUAGAGAAAAGGGAUUUGCAAGUAAAUGAGUUGUACACAACUUGCUGCUGGCAGCACAUAUGAACUGCUUACAUACGAUUCAAGAAUAUAAGCUUAAACACAUUAUAAAACAGUUCUCUGCGAGCCUGAAAAUUGGCCGGUAGUUCUAUUACUUUCCCCUGGAUGGUAUUGUUAGUCUCUCAAGUAACACAAAUUCAAGGGCUACAUCACCAAUGAUGAGUUUCUUUCUGUGGGAGUGGUGGGAACCAACAGGAACGCCCACUUCAAAUGCUCAUGGUUGGGAGGUAAGACCCUGGUUACCCUGUUGCUGCAAAUAAGCGUUACUACGCAUUUUCAGGGUAAAUCGACAAGCAACUACAUGGAGAACAACAAAGCUAAAUUCAUGGGAGUCUGUAGUUAAAAGCAGAAUAGCAGCUAAUUAAAACCACCACCACUUAGGACAGUGGCUCUUUAAACCCUGCAAAUGUGCUUUUGUGGGGAGCUCUGCAGCACGAAUGCAGCCACAAGUCUUAGCGGGCUUGGCAUUGCAAUCUUUCAUAGUCUCUGGAAACACAUUUAAGUUUAGCCCAAUUCUGGGAUGGAGAAAAUGCUACAUGUUAAAAGUUCCCCUUAGAAAGGGAACAUGCUUGCUUGCAAAAUAGCCCAAGAUGGGUGCCUAGGCUAGAAGAUGAGAUGCCUGGCAGGACUGAAUCCUGGUAUGGCUAUUGAAGGAGAGGAGAGUGAGGGAAGGGUGAGGUGGGGAGGAUGUGUCCACUUCUCUGGAGAGAAAGUGAGAGAAUUCCAGAUAAUCAAACCCUCCACUUGCAAUGUGUGAAGAUCCCUGUUAGGGGCUAAAUAUUUGUGUCCCACUUAUGUCAAAGCCAACCCCCAGCCAGGCAUAGUGGCGCAUGCGUAUAAUCCCAGUAUGUUGGAGGCUGAGGGGGGAGGUUCGAGAGUUCAAGGCCAGCCUCAGCAACUUAGCGAGUCCCUGUCCCAAAAUAAAAUACAAAAAAAAAAAAAGGGAUGGGGAUGUGGCUCAGUAGCUAAGUGUCCCUGGAUUCAAUCCCCAGUACAGAAAAUUAAUAAAUAAAAAAUAACCAACCCCCAGUGUGACUGUAUCUGGAGGUAGAGCCUUUAUGGAAGUAAUUAAGGUAAAAUGGGUCACUAAGGUAGGGCUGUGAUGGAAAAGGAUUAGUGUCCUCACAAAAAGAGACAAUACAGAGCUUACUUGUGUGCUUGUGGGCUCUCCAUCCACCUGUGUGAGGACCAGCAGAAAGGUGAAUGUAUACAAACCAGAAAGAGGGUCCUCACCAGAAAUUGAACUUGAUCCUGGAUUUCCAGCCCCUUGAGAAAACAAGUGUCUGUUGUUCGAAUGACCUUGUUUGUCCUUUUAAUUUUAGGACAAGGUGUAACUAAGUUGCCCAGGCUGGCCUUGAACUUGUGAUCUUCCUGCCUCAGCUUCCUGAGUAGCUGGGGUUACAGGUGUGUGCCACCACAUCCGGCUUCUGCUUCUGCUUCCAUCUCCA